CACGAGAUUUAGAGGAGCCACGGUGGCUGCAGUCCCGCCGAGGCUCUGCUCGCGAACUGAAGCGGCGGAGGAAGCUGGAGACGAUGUGGACUGAAGUUACAGCUUCUCUCUUCCUCUUGAUGGUCUUUGGUAUGGCUAAUAUCUUCUUUAUAUUCGACUGGAACAAAUACGAAUGUGGAUGUGAAGAUAUUUGGUAAUUUAAAUGCGAUUUCAUUGUUUUCAAGAGAUAGAUGGCCAGUGGUUACAGAAAAGAGUUCAAGGAAUUUUCAAGGAUAGCUAUAAAAGAAGAGUGAGUACACGAUUUGGCGAUGCGAGACAUAUAAACACACAUUAACGUCAAGUUUGGAAGCGAAGCUAUCGAUUGACCCACAAAGGGUCUAGCAACCGUGGAAAGGAUCAAGUUGCGGAUACAGAAGGUCAUCUUUCGGCAAGGAAUUAUAAUAAACAUCUUGUAACGAGCAAUCAAUCCUCUUUAAUAAGGAACUGGACUGAACGAAGGCAAGACAAAAUAGUCAAAUUAUCCUCUAUCCAUAAUCAUAAAAUCUAGUGGAAUUCAUUUGAACGUUCUCUUUAAAAGAGUGUUUUUGUUACUAAUAUCAUUAGAAACAAUCAACUAAUAAUAACUAGUUUUUCAAACAGAAGAGUGACACGUUUACGUGAAGAACAAAGUGCCAUGAAUCAUACAGAUUUCAUCGUCGAGGGUGCUGAAUAAAAAGUACACGAUCCGCGGUUCCCUUAUCUCGUGGAUACGACCUAUGCGUUUGCAAAUGAUUACCGAGUGAACGAUACGCCGGGAGAGAUUGACAUCGCAGUGCUAUUCGCGCAGGUGAAAGGAAUCGAGCACACCCUUGCACCGUGAAUCGGCCGGCAGGUUUAAAAGGGAAUAUAUCGAUCGUGACGCGCAGGGGGUUAUACGGUCACCCGGGGCCGAACAAUUUUCCGCAAACCGCUAAUCAUUCUCUGAACGUAAUUCUAACGAGGUCAUCGACAUCUAUCAGUUUUUCCUAUUCAUUCUACGUCGUCGAUUUUCUGUAGCUUUCAGAAAAUUUUUCGUUGAUCGAAAUGAAUAAGAAAUCACAGUAUUGGAAUGUUUAAACAAUAACGUAGCAAAUAAGCACAUUCAUGACAGAUUUUCAGAUCUUACGGUAUACUUUCCUAUGUUAAAAAAUUCUAAAUUUUGUG